GUAUAGACCCGAAACCCGGUGAUCUAGCCAUGGGCAGGUUGAAGGUUGGGUAACACUAACUGGAGGACCGAACCGACUAAUGUUGAAAAAUUAGCGGAUGACUUGUGGCUGGGGGUGAAAGGCCAAUCAAACCGGGAGAUAGCUGGUUCUCCCCGAAAGCUAUUUAGGUAGCGCCUCGUGAAUUCAUCUCCGGGGGUAGAGCACUGUUUCGGCAAGGGGGUCAUCCCGACUUACCAACCCGAUGCAAACUGCGAAUACCGGAGAAUGUUAUCACGGGAGACACACGGCGGGUGCUAACGUCCGUCGUGAAGAGGGAAACAACCCAGACCGCCAGCUAAGGUCCCAAAGUCAUGGUUAAGUGGGAAACGAUGUGGGAAGGCCCAGACAGCCAGGAUGUUGGCUUAGAAGCAGCCAUCAUUUAAAGAAAGCGUAAUAGCUCACUGGUCGAGUCGGCCUGCGCGGAAGAUGUAACGGGGCUAAACCAUGCACCGAAGCUGCGGCAGCGACGCUUAUGCGUUGUUGGGUAGGGGAGCGUUCUGUAAGCCUGUGAAGGUGUACUGUGAGGUAUGCUGGAGGUAUCAGAAGUGCGAAUGCUGACAUAAGUAACGAUAAAGCGGGUGAAAAGCCCGCUCGCCGGAAGACCAAGGGUUCCUGUCCAACGUUAAUCGGGGCAGGGUGAGUCGACCCCUAAGGCGAGGCCGAAAGGCGUAGUCGAUGGGAAACAGGUUAAUAUUCCUGUACUUGGUGUUACUGCGAAGGGGGGACGGAGAAGGCUAUGUUGGCCGGGCGACGGUUGUCCCGGUUUAAGCGUGUAGGCUGGUUUUCCAGGCAAAUCCGGAAAAUCAAGGCUGAGGCGUGAUGACGAGGCACUACGGUGCUGAAGCAACAAAUGCCCUGCUUCCAGGAAAAGCCUCUAAGCAUCAGGUAACAUCAAAUCGUACCCCAAACCGACACAGGUGGUCAGGUAGAGAAUACCAAGGCGCUUGAGAGAACUCGGGUGAAGGAACUAGGCAAAAUGGUGCCGUAACUUCGGGAGAAGGCACGCUGAUAUGUAGGUGAAGUCCCUCGCGGAUGGAGCUGAAAUCAGUCGAAGAUACCAGCUGGCUGCAACUGUUUAUUAAAAACACAGCACUGUGCAAACACGAAAGUGGACGUAUACGGUGUGACGCCUGCCCGGUGCCGGAAGGUUAAUUGAUGGGGUCAGCGCAAGCGAAGCUCUUGAUCGAAGCCCCGGUAAACGGCGGCCGUAACUAUAACGGUCCUAAGGUAGCGAAAUUCCUUGUCGGGUAAGUUCCGACCUGCACGAAUGGCGUAAUGAUGGCCAGGCUGUCUCCACCCGAGACUCAGUGAAAUUGAACUCGCUGUGAAGAUGCAGUGUACCCGCGGCAAGACGGAAAGACCCCGUGAACCUUUACUAUAGCUUGACACUGAACAUUGAGCCUUGAUGUGUAGGAUAGGUGGGAGGCUU
rnacentral:rRNA from 1 species